UAAUACGAAUGGGGCAAGCGUUGUUCGGAAUCACUGGGCUUAAAGCGUAUGCAGGCGGCCAAGCAAGUCAGGAGUGAAAUCCCUGGGCUCAACCCAGGAAUUGCUUUUGAAACUGCUCGGCUAGAAUCCCGGAGAGGUUGGCAGAAUUCCGAGUGUAGAGGUGAAAUUCGCAGAUAUUCGGAGGAAUACCAGUGGCGCAAGCGGCCAACUGGACGGGCAUUGACGCUCAGAUACGAAAGCGUGGGGAGCAAACAGGAUUAGAUACCCUGGUAGUCCACGCCAUAAACGAUGUGUGCUAGUUGUCGGAGCCUACGGUUUCGGUGACGCAGCGAAAGCGGUAAGCACACCGCCUGGGGAGUACGGUCGCAAGAUUA
rnacentral:rRNA from 1 species